UGGGGAAUAUUGGGCAAUGGGCGCAAGCCUGACCCAGCAACGCCGCGUGAAGGAAGAAGGCUUUCGGGUUGUAAACUUCUUUUGUCGGGGACGAAACAAAUGACGGUACCCGACGAAUAAGCCACGGCUAACUACGUGCCAGCAGCCGCGGUAAUACGUAGGUGGCAAGCGUUAUCCGGAUUUACUGGGUGUAAAGGGCGUGUAGGCGGGAUCGCAAGUCAGAUGUGAAAACUGGAGGCUCAACCUCCAGCCUGCAUUUGAAACUGUGGUUCUUGAGUACUGGAGAGGCAGACGGAAUUCCUAGUGUAGCGGUGAAAUGCGUAGAUAUUAGGAGGAACACCAGUGGCGAAGGCGGCUUACUGGACGGUAACUGACGUUGAGGCUCGAAAAGCGUGGGGAGCAAACAGGAUUAGAUACCC
rnacentral:rRNA from 1 species